AUGAACGCUGGCGGCGUGCUUAACCCAUGCAAGUCGAACGGAAAGGCCAGUGCUUGCACUGGUACUCGAGUGGCGAACGGGUGAGUAACACGUGGGUGAUCUGCCCUGCACUUCGGGAUAAGCCUGGGAAACUGGGUCUAAUACCGGGUAGGACAAUGGUUUGGAUGCCGUUGUGGAAAGUUUUUUCGGUGUGGGAUGAGCUCGCGGCCUAUCAGCUUGUUGGUGGGGUAAUGGCCUACCAAGGCGUCGACGGGUAGCCGGCCUGAGAGGGUGUACGGCCACAUUGGGACUGAGAUACGGCCCAGACUCCUACGGGAGGCAGCAGUGGGGAAUAUUGCACAAUGGGCGCAAGCCUGAUGCAGCGACGCCGCGUGGGGGAUGACGGCCUUCGGGUUGUAAACUCCUUUCGCUAGGGACGAAGCGUAUUUGUGACGGUACCUGGAGAAGAAACACCGGCUAACUACGU
rnacentral:rRNA from 1 species